CUUGAAAUACCCGGAUGUAUUGCAAUAUACUGAACAAGACUGGUUACUCGCAUCAAUGCCUCUGUCUCGUCAUUUAACAUUCAAACAUGGUGUCAGAGUCACCUGUUCUGGUUUACCCCCAACAAUGCUUAUUUGAGUAAAACUUCGCCGGACGCCGGAAUUGUCCUUAGCUAGAGUGAGUUUGCUAGUUAGCUUCAGUGUUGUUAGCACCGGUUAGACAUGGCAGCGAACAUUCCCUCUCCCGCCGUUAUGAAGCACAAACUGGGAUACGUUUACAGGUGAAUGGGAGGACUAUGCACUAGCAACGGGACUUCGGGAAAAGGACGAUGAGGUAGUGGCUGCCACUUUGACGACUAUAAUGGGAACUGAAUGCCGACACGUAUACAAACAACCUGAACCUAACAGCAGCUCAGCAAGUUUCCCUGGCACACAAAAGUACUUGUUUCAUUUCAAAUGCUGAGCCGGACAGGAAAAUGGUCCAAUUCACACACUUAUCAAGAGAACAUCCCUGGUCAUCCCUACUGCCUCAGAUCUAGCGGACUCGCUAAACACAUGCUUCAUUUGUAAAUGAUGUCUGAUUGUUGGAGUGUUCCCCUGGUUAUUUCUUAAAUAAAAUAACAGAAUCGUGCUGUCUGGUUUGCUUAAUAUAUGGAAGGUCAAAUAAUUUAUACUUUUACCACUGAUACUUAAGUAUAUUUUAGCAAUGACAUUUACUUAGUAUUUUACUGGGUGACUUUCACUUUUACUUGAGUCAUUUUCUAUUAAAGUCAUCUUAUUAUUGUACCUUUUUCCCUUCAUUUGCCUACUACUGUCUAUAAGCGAUCAUAACAUGUGGGUUUUUUCUUGGGGACCAGGUAUCGGAACGCCUUUUAAGGGUCUACAAAGCAUGCCCCCAGGUAAAAGUUGCCUUUUGCAGACAAGGAUUGUAUUGUUACUCCACGACAUAUGUUAUCACAACUCUAUUAAAAGGACAUUUUACACAAGGCGUCACUUCAUUCCUUCUAUUUGUUGGGAACUAGUCCCUACCGCCCUACACACCAAGGUAGCUCUUUCAUGGCAACAAAAUGCAACAUCA
rnacentral:lncRNA from 1 species